CUCUCUCCAGGUGUAGAAGUAUUUAACUCAGGUGUGUUCUCCUCUCUACAGGUGUAGAAGUAUUUAACUCAGGUGUGUUCUCCUCUCUACAGGUGUAGAAGUAUUUAACUCAGGUGUGUUCUCCUCUCUACAGGUGUAGAAGUAUUUAACUCAGGUGUGUUCUCCUCUCUACAGGUGUAGAAGUAUUUAACUCAGGUGUGUUCUCCUCUAUCUAGGUGUAGAAGUAUUUAACUCAGGUGUGUUCUCCUCUCUACAGGUGUAGAAGUAUUUAACUCAGGUGUGUUCUCCUCUCUACAGGUGUAGAAGUAUUUAACUCAGGUGUGUUCUCCUCUCUACAGGUGUAGAAGUAUUUAACUCAGGUGUGUUCUCCUCUCUACAGGUGUAGAAGUAUUUAACUCAGGUGUGUUCUCCUCUCUACAGGUGUAGAAGUAUUUAACUCAGGUGUGUUCUCCUCUCUACAGGUGUAGAAGUAUUUAACUCAGGUGUGUUCUCCUCUAUCUAGGUGUAUAAGUAUUUAACUCAGAUGUGUU